UGAGCUCCUGAAUAUUCAAAAUAUUAGUUUUUCCUUCCCACACAUUACUCAGGAGACCAAGGACUCCAUGGCCAAAAACAAAACAAAACAAACAAACAAACAAAAAACAAAAGAAACUAUUUGAAACUACUGAGUUUCAUCCCAUUCAGCAAUUAAUCAUGGCUUACCCAGUCCAUUUCCUUCAUCAUUUUUAAUGUCAUGACUCAUCGGGUGGAUGGAUCUGUUUCAGAGGGCCAAUUCCCAGCAGGAUAGCAUCCAGGGCAGACUUCCUGUGCCGUGGCUCUGUUGUCUAGCCUUUUAAGGAUGAAGACUUGACAUGCAUCAGAGAAGUACAAAAUGGAAUUACUGCCCAAGUGAGCUUCGAGACAUAAUUAAUGUAUAGCAAAGAGAAUCGUAACUCCAUGUCUGAGAGUAGAUCUUGAUUGUGUUAGACAGAGUUGAGGGUUGAGAAUGGUGAAAGAUGAGUGUAUUAAGUAAGAAUUUGUCAGGAAGGAAUCCUCAGCCCAUGACUGAAAGCUCCCUGGCAAGGGUACAGGGAAGAGUUCUAUCUGGUUUGGAUGCUUACCAUAAGCUUGGGCCUGGGGAAAGGGAAGUCAUGCAUUAAAUUAAGUAGACAUGACAGAAAUGCUUUGGCGGAAUUUUGAUCAAGAGCUCAAAGACCCAGAGAAGCAAACUGCAUGCUGGAGUUUUUCUGUUAUGUAACAGCAGCUGACUGUUAACUGGAGGGAUUUGAGCUCACGCUUACCUCUAAGCUGGCCAGGACCAAGCUAGGAUUGAGAGUGCUAUUCUUGAGCACGAGGGUCAAGGCCCUGCUUACAAGAAAUGUGUACAGCAGAGAUUUCAGUACAUACAACUUUACAUAUUUCACAUUGAACUUAACAUUUUAAACUUAAACUCAGCACUUACACUGGAAACAGUCUAUGCAAAUUUUCCUUCUCAGUUUUGGAAUACUCUGGAAUUCUACUUUCAUAUGAAUGAUAAUUUAUAUGUUAGAUUUCAAAAAAGGAUCCUUAUGUGGUCCCCAAUUUUGGUUAGUUACCCUUCUCUAUACAGCUUUCUAGCUUACCUACUGCCUAGUUUUGAGUGGUUGUUUUAAUUUAUGUCUAAAGAAGUAAGUUUUCCCAAAUAGUCCCCUAGACCCUUGCAAAUAAGAUUAAUAUCUUAUGCCUCAGAAUUUGUUGAGGCAUUCUAUGCCUAACAAAUUAUUUAUUAGAAUUUUCCAUCUAUUAUUUUAAUAUUUCCGUUUAUUAAGUGUGACAUACCUGUGCUUAUCAUUGUUAAUUGCAAUGUAAACAUUACAACACUCAUACAUCAGCUCUUUAAUUGGCUGAAUCACUUUAAAUCCUUGAGAUAAGCUUAAUUAGAUAGUAGAUUUACUAUGGAAUGAUAAACUGGAAUGUGUAAACACACAUUAAUAAAGCCAGUUGUUUGCUCUGCAGCCUGAAAAUUAAGUUAUCAAUAUCAGAUAAGUGAAAAGAAAAAACGGUCUGUUCAAUAAAAUACACUCUUGAAAUUUA
rnacentral:lncRNA from 1 species